UCCUGGAUGGCCGAGUGGUUAUGGCAUCUGACUUCAAUUCUUGAAGUGAGCGUAGGUUCGAAUCCUGCUCCAGGAA